rfam:Felis catus isolate Cinnamon breed Abyssinian chromosome D1, whole genome shotgun sequence.
GCCUGGGUGGCUCAGUUGGUUAAGCGUCUGACUUCGGCUCAGGUCAUGAUCUCAUGUUUGUGGGUUUGAGCCCCGCAUCAGGCU